CGGAGUCAAAAAGUCUGGGCUUGGAACUUCACCAAACGUACCGUUGCUGAGUAAACUCUCUCCCUAAAGGUAUAUGGGCAGCUCUGUUAAUGUAUUGACAGACUACAGAGACUGACUGGCCAUGGACUGUUGGACAACAACAACAACAACAACAACAACAACAACAUGUAUCUCAAAUUGA